UUUAUUGGUUCGUAUUUAUUAAUGCAGUUGAAACUUCUUUUGCUUAAAGCUUCAAAGUAAUGUCAGCCACAUUGCAGUGGAAGACAUGUAAUAAGGUAUCACAAAUCCAUCAAUAGUUUCUUAGUAAAGCUGCAAAAUAAAGUCCUCAUUUUAUGCCUGGAAUGAACUUGUCCUGUGUCUUGUCGGACAAUCUGCGUAACAGUUUUGACAGAAAUAAGAUAAACUCUGUCAGGAUUGUUAGUACCUUCCAAAACUGAACUCCAAAAGUGAGCCAUACAGUCAAGCAUGGGAGUGUAUGGGUAAAAUUACAAGGAGAGGCUGUAUAAGAACAAACAUAUGUCAAACAUAGGGUAUAGGCUUCCUCCUAAUGGGCUUGGGCUUUGUAGGCCAUGUAGGUUGCCAGAAUUGAACACGAUACACAGUUUGUGGCUUUUGUGUCUUAUUUCUUAAUGAAUGCAUGAUGUACAAAUCAAAUACUGCAGCAAAGUAUGAGGAGCUAUAGUUACCCUACCAAGUGGCCUGUCUCCUGUCCUUGAUUUGACCCCUGGUGUUCUCCGCUGCUAUCCUUAUCUCCCUCUCUAAAUUAGCAAUCUGCAUAAAGAAAAGGAAUAUCAAAGAUCAAUCCCAGCAGGACAGUUCCUCAUAAUGAGACUAAAGGCUCUGUUUCAUGGAAAGAUCUUGUCAGUCAACAUGCUAAAAUCCACAGUCUGAGCAAUACAUCCCAGAAACCAUUACUGGAGAGUGUGGUUAAAAACUAUUUCCCUGGGAGUGAUUUUACUUCUUGGGCAAGUCUCUCACAGGUGAAAUCUAUUAGGAAGGCCAGACCACUUCCUAUCAGCAAGCAAGCAAGGACAAUCCAAAGAAUAGGCAAUGAUGUGUUGCCUUAUAAGCAGGGAAGGUCUAAGGAAGGACUGCAGAUUUUAGUGGAAGUAGAAUUUUUUGGGGAAAAUCCAUCGUCUGUAAUGGGAUUUUGAAAGGAUUUAUCUAUGCAAAAUUGUCCAGUCUACAGAACUGGUAGUUUAAAAAACAAACAGAAAUGCUCAAAGAAAAGCUUAUGCAGCCUGACCUGGUUAUUGAAUGGAAGUUGCCCUCUUUUUGUGUAGUAUAGGUGGGACUGACAAUAGAUUUAAGUCAUCUGUUAUCAUAGUCAUUGCUAUGCAGUGUGAUUUACUUUGCCAUAGCUAAUUUCAGCUGCAGCAGCCAACGCUGAUAGUUCAAGUUGGGUAUCACCACCAUUUGCGAUCUGAGAUGCAGCCCUCUUUUUUUACAUACACACACCUCGCUUGUUUUUUCCGGGAAGAUGAUCAAAAGAAUCAACCUUACAGGGAUCUUCCUCUUCACCUGAGAGGCACGGAGUUAGAAAUGAGACUGCAAGAUCCAGCAAGAAGCAUCCAGAGAAGCCUGCAGAAGCAACCACCUGAACCAGUCCUCUUUGUGCUCUCCACCUCACGUGCCUUGUCUCCGAAUCACUGCAUUUGGGCUUUCUCCUGACACUGAGUCAGUCUGCUUGUUAGUAAACAUUUUCCAAUCUGCUUUUGGCUCCAAACUGGAUUUCUCCUGGAUCCUGAAAGCCGUGAAUAGUUUUGAAGGAAAAUUACCUGACAGAAGCAGAGUACAACCUGAAGAGCCCUCCACAUGUUACUGCUAAGUCCUGGAAGCCUCCCUUCAGGAUUAGUGCUCCCUUAGUUGCUUCAAUGGCCAGG